CCUGCAGAAAACACAAACACAAAUCCUACAGUUACAUGACCACCCUGCUUUGGCUGGGACAGAGUUAAUUUCCUUCAUAGCUGUUGUUGUGGUGCCAUGUUUCAGAUUCAGGAGGAAAAUAACAUUGAUAGCGCACCGAUGUUUUAGUUAUUGCAGAGCAGCGCUUACACCGUGUCAAGGACUCUGCAGCUUCUCACAGCACCCUGCCAGCAAGGAGCUGGGGUGCAGCAGCUGCUGGGAGGGGACAGGAGCAGGACAGCUGACCUGAGUGGCCAGAGGGCCCAGGGUGCUGCCUCACAUGACAAAACACAGGCAGCAGAACCGGAGGAGUUGUUGGAGGGGCUGCUGCUGCUCGGGGACUGUCUGGGUACAGCUGGCUGCUGCUCCCCUGGAGGAGUGUGCAAACGACUGUGUGGUGCUGAGCUGCUGCUGCUUUAUACCACUGCAAUCCUGGUGCUCAUUGCGGGGCCGGCGGGGCUGAGAUAACAACAGAUCUGACCACAGCGCGUUAGAGAGAACACAUCUGUUUAUAUAUUUGUUGUAAUCCUUACAUUCUUAUAAGAGCUGCUGGCCACAAUGUUUGUUUGUUGGCUCACAGUGUUUUUCUGGUUCCUCUCGGAGCUGCUUCGAUUGCUCUCAGAGCUGCUUUGGUUGCUUUCAGGGCUGCUUUGGCUGCUCUCAGGGCUGCUCUCAGGGCUGCUUUGGCUGCCCUCAAAGCUGUUUGCUGUAAUCCAUUUCUUGCCGUACUUGCUCCCUGUCUUGGUGUUUAUCAGUGCAGAGGGCUGGUUAAAGGCCGCUUUGGGUUUUCUCACUCUGCUGUACUACAUAACACACACGAUGUGAUAAAAGCACCAGCUGUGUGCAGAACCUACCGCUGCACUCAGCGCUGCUGCCAUCCUCGUACUUUGGAAACCAUCUCUUUGAAUCUAUUAGCAAUUACACUUUUACCUUUCCUUCUCUGAGUGAACCCCUCUUCUCCAGGUCAUUUAGAAGAAUGUUUGAGCACUGUGUACACCCUUGGGAUACUCAAAGCAGCACGUUGUUAUUGCUGUGUCUCCUGAGCACACGUCAGGUCUCAUUCUAAGGUUAAACAACUAUUUGAGACCACCCAGAGCUCUGCCCCAAGGUGGGACAGCUGUGAGGGCAUGGACAGGCAGCUCCAAUGCAUUGAAACUUCACCCCGAGCAAGCACAGAGCCCUGAAAAAGUGAUAAAAUGACUGAAAAAGAUACACCAUCACCUGGCAGCUCCAAAGAGACACAAAUCACUGCAGCGUGCUGGGGCUCGGCCUACAUAGCCUCAUCUGACCCCAUUCAGCACCUACAGGAGGAAGAGACGGUCUCUGGAUCUGACAGCAACAGACCCACAACAGACACUGUGGAUAUCCAACCCCUGCAACAGACACUGUGGCUGAGCCCUCACAGGUUGAGAAUGUGGUUGUAAGAGUACGUCACGUAGAUGCCCACGUACCCAAGAGUCGCAUCACUGAAGAACAUCAAAACAACCAGCAGGUGGAUCGGGCUGCUCGGACUGAAGUAAUUCAGGUAGAUCUGCACUGGCAAUGUAAAGGUGAAUUAUUUCUAGCUCAAUGGGCCAUGACACCUCAGGCCAUAAAGCAAGAGGUGCAACGUACAGAUGGGAUAAGGGAUCAAGGGGUGGACUUGACCAUGGACACUAUUGCACAGGUUAUCCAUGAAUGUGAAACGUGCUGUAAUUAAGCAAGUCAAACAGGUAAAGCCUCUUUGUAUGGAGGGCAAUGGCUGGAAUAUAAAUACAGGGAGGCCUGGCAGGUGGAUUCUAUCGCUUUCUCACUCACAAUAAUGGCAAGUGCCAUUACAAUGGUGGAAGCAAACACUGGAUAGCAGGAAAUAUAUACCGUGCUUCACACCACCACCUGAGCCUUAAAAAGCAAGUCUUGUAUGACAUGGCACCCCAAAAAGAACUGAGUCAGACAACGGGACUCAAUCCCAACCUCAUAAACACCUGGGCCAAAGAGCACAGCACGGAGUGAGCACAUCACAUCCUUGCCUCUGGGAAAAUGGAACGAUACAAUGGACUGUUAAAAGCCACACUGAGAGCAAUGGGUGCUGGGACAUUCAAACACUGGACACACAUUUAGCAAAAGCCACCUGGUUAGUCAACACUCAGGGAUCUGCCAAUCGAGCUUGCUCUGCCCAGUCAAAAAUCUUAUCUAUGUAUAAGGAAAUAAAGUCCCUGUAAUGCCCUGCGUAGGUGUCAUGGUUUUGUAAUUUUGUAAUUUGUAUUUUUGCAACAUAUGGUUGGUUAUUCCUGCCUCAUAUCCUUGGUUAUACCUGCCUCAAGCAAAGCCAAACCCAUCUGUGGAGUUGCUUUCACUCAAGGACAUGGGUGCACCUGGGGGGUAACGCGUAAAGAUGGGGAAGUCUGCUGUGUACCUCCAGGUGAUUUGAUUUUGUUGAGAACAGCCAAUAAUGUGUGUCCAGUUCUGAGCUUCUUAGUUCAAGGAGGCCGGGCUCUUCUUGGUGGUGUGCAGUGAUACAAUGAUGGAACUUGGACUGGCUUCAGUGUGCAACAAUUCAACACCACACACCAUCUCUCCAGCCCUGAACAACCAUUACAACAGAUGGAGCUCAAAGUCACGGACUAAAUGAGCUCAGUGGACAUUUAAAGAGAGAAUCCACAGCAAAAGAGCAAUGAGAUCUCUAUGUGCGUGUCAAAGGGUGGGAAGGGUGGUGGUGAGGGUGUAUUGAAAAGAGUAAGACCUGAGCAUGACUUACUUAGAUGGUGUGGAAUAAGGGGUAGUUAUUGCACUGGUUUGGGCUAGAAUAGAAUUAAUUUUCUUCAUUUUAGCUACUAUGGGGCUAUGUUUUGGAUUUGGGAGGAAAAUGUUGACAGCCCACUGAGGUUUUAGUUAUAGCUGAGCAAUGCUUGUGCUGAAGCAAGUACUCUUCUGCUUUUCACACUGCCCACACCAGCUGGGAUUGGGCAGGGAGCUGGGAGUGAAGAGAACCAGGACAGCUGACCCAGACCAACAAAACAGAUCCGACACCACACGGUGUCGUGCUGAACAAUAAAACGGGGAGUUGGCCAGAGGGCUGCCGUUCCUCAAGGAACAGGAGGGCAUCAGUUGGCCAGCAGUGAUCAAUUGUGUUGUGCGUCAUUUCUUGUGUUGGUUUGGGUUUGUGGGGUGGGUUGGUUUUUUUUGUACUUUUCUUCAUUUUUUUCCUCUUUCUUAUUAAACUGCUCUUAUGUCAACCCA